rnacentral:rRNA from 1 species
GGCUCAACCGUAGUAAGCUCUUGAAACUGGGAGACUUGAGUGCAGGAGAGGAGAGUGGAAUUCCUAGUGUAGCGGUGAAAUGCGUAGAUAUUAGGAGGAACAUCAGUUGCGAAGGCGGCUCUCUGGACUGUAACUGACGCUGAGGCACGAAAGCGUGGGGAGCAAACAGGAUUAGAUACCCUGGUAGUCCACGCUGUAAACGAUG